AUGGCAAGAUGUCCCAAGAAAUAUGGGCCUGCUACAUGGGAUAAUACAGGCAACAGUUUAAAGGGGUCAGAAAUCCCUGUCGAGCCAAACCCCCACCCCACCCCCACGCCCACCCCCACUAAGAAAGAUAUAGGAACUCUAGUUUGCUCUCCACAUGCCAUGUACGAGGUAAUACUCCAUCUAAGUCCACGUCAAAAGGAAGCUAUCGAGGGUUCAGGUCUUGGCAACUUGCUAAAGAUUGACAACAUACAUAUUGACCGAAACUUGUGUAAUGAGAUUGCAAGAAGCUACGACAAGGAGAAGAAAGCAUUCAAUAUUAAUGGUACCUUCGUAACGAUGACACUCGAUGAUGUUGAUUGUUUGCUUGGACUGCCAUCAAAAGGAGAUGACAUAUUUGAGGCACCAAAAAUCAAUAAACCAGAAUUGUUCAACCUGUACAAACAGGAAGGCCAAACAACAAUUACUUUACAAGCAUUACGGGAAGCAAUAAUCAACUCCUCGAGCUACGAUGACCACUUCAUUCGAAGAUUUAUUCUUUUCUCAAUUGGAUCAUUCAUAUGUCCUACAACUCAAAGAUAUGUGCGCUCAGAAUAUCUCAAUCUCGUCGACGACGUUGACAAAAUGAGGGAACUAAACUGGUCUAGUCUAACACUGAAUCAGUUACUGAAAGGCAUAAUAAAAUUUAGAGAGAAGACAACAAACAUUGAGGGGAAUGUAUGCCUCUUACAGAUUUGGUAUUGGGAAAAAGUGCAAAUAGAUAAAUUGGCUGCGACAAUAUAUCAUUCUAGCCGUCAAAGGCCACUAAUUCAGUACUGGGAAAAAAAAGAAAAAAAGCGAAUUUCUUACCUUUUUGGACAAGGGAAGGUUGUCGACGAUAUUAGGGGAACUAUACAUUGCAAUGAAAUCCCCGAUGAAAAAGCGCACGACAAUGACUCAGAAACACGUAGCAAUGAAGAUUUUCAAGGCACUUCUGAAGAGAUACACUCUAUAACAUCCACUGAACAAUUAGCCGACAUCACUUUACAAGAAAGGUUACAAGAAAGCAUCCAAACUUUACAAGAUAAUUUCAAUGAUUUCACAAAGGAUUUUUGGCCACGUAUGCGAUCAUUGAUACUAGAUUGCAUGGAAAAUGAUUCAAAAUGCCCAAAGCGAAAAGAUAGUACGCAUGUGUUUGAGGAUGUUGAACAAGAACAAAAUGAUCCCAGGGAGCAUGUAUCAAAUCAUAACGAAGAGUCCUAUAUAAACCAAAAUGUAAACAUGACUUGUGAAACGAAGAGCAAUCAAAGCAGGAAGAGGCUUACAGGUCCUAAAGGAAGAACAUACAAACCAACUAAUUGGACUGACUUCAUCUACGAAACAAGGGUGUACAUCGAGAAGGAAGAUCUUACCCAACAAAUCAUAGACAAAGGCCCACCAAAGAACGCCUUAAGAGGUCAAAAGAAGACAAAAACGAAUGGCCAGACACCGUUAAAAAAUUCAGAAGAAGUGGAGGUUAAACGGAAAAAAAUGAAAGUACUAACACAACCAGCUUUCUUGAAUGAUGAUGUCAUGGAUGCAUACAUUCAAUGCCUCCGCUAUAAAGAGAAAGGAAUCAGGGGAGAUGGCAAGGCCUUCCUAGAGAUGGCCAUUAAAACAGGUCUACUAAAUGUAGAGGGAGCGCAUGUCGAAGCAAGCGAAUCUCGAGAUAAACGAUGGAUUAGAGAUAUGGCACGCGACUAUCUACCAUUUGACAUGCUACUAGCUAUCGAGAGGGGAUUACACGGGACAGAGAAUCAGCACCCACAGUUAAAACACGAUUGGCCUGAUUUCAAUAUUACCGAAUGGGAGUACAACAAAGUCCAAAAAUUGCCAAAGCAAGGAGACGGCGUCUCGUGCGGCCUGUACACCCUUAAGUUCAUGGAGCAUUGGACUGGAUCUUAUCUCCCAAAAAUUCAACUACAGGUCGAUGGCGACAGCGGUGGAGUGGAGAAGGGUGCGUCGGUCCAUGGGGAGGAUAACGUGGCGGUGGUGGCGCGGGGAGGCGACGCGGCGAAGAGGACUCGUCGCCCGCCGGCGGAGGCGGGUGGAGGGGCGACUACGUCACGCGACUCGCUGGACAAGGGGGCGGGGGAGGAGGACGGCGACGGUGGGGGCUCACAAGCCGGCGCUGAGACGCGGGCGGAGGAGAAGGAGGGGAGGGCGAUGAGGAAGGGCUUCGACGGAGGGAAGCCGCCGAUAUCAGGGGAGGCGGGGAGGCGGACGUCGACGGAGGGGCGCUGGCGGUGGAGAAGGCGGCGAGGAAGGGCGAGUGCGACGGAGGCGGCGAGGGAGAUGGACGGCGGCGGAGGUGGGGAUGGGGUGGACUGGUGACGGGAAGUGG
rnacentral:lncRNA from 1 species